ensembl:lncRNA
ACUCUGGAAGCCUCGCAGCUCUCCCUCUCCCUCCCUUCUCUUCCUUUCCCCCUUCCCCCUUACCUCCCUCCAUGAGCGAGCUCUGUGCAAAUUAAUCAGCAGACAUCCAAGGCUCCAGCUGGGAUGAAGUGGGCUGGACUCAUUAGUCCAGAAUGAUAUUAAUAUCAAAAAAAUGUUGAGACAAAUGCAAUGAUUCCGGGCAGGCACCUACAUCGGCCUGACUCUGAAGCUAGUGUGGGCCCAGGAACCGUGGCCAGUUGCCGCUGAGUGUUCCUGUUGCAUCAGCAGCGAGGCUAAUUAGCUCCACGGCUCCUGAAUGAUAAUGGCUGCAUUCUCAGAGGUGUCUGCCUGCCAGGAGCCCCACAGGCGUGCAAACAUGCACGUGGACAGCCGUACUGGUCCCAUUUUGGAGUUGAGGAAACCGAAGCUGAGCGUCUGCCCUCCCCGGCCCUGGAUGGGACUCAGCGAUACUGCCCAUCACCGUGCAGCAGCUUAGGGAAUCAGAUGGACAUUCCUAAUAUGGAGCCCAAAUCUGGCUGCUGUGAAUUCCAUGAAGAGGCCUGCUCGGCAUCUCCUCUUCUGGGUCCUGCACGUGCUGACCUCUCGGGUCUCUGGGUAAAGAAGACCUGAUGCUCUAGAGGAACGUGUAUGGGCUUUGGGCCAGAAGAGUUCUGCAGCGUAGUCUCUGCUGCUAGGACUCAGGGAAUGACUUAGGGCUGGUCUUUGUGAUGCAGCAGCAGGAAGAUUAUUAGGGAAUGCUCUGCAGAUCGAUGUCUUUGGAAGGGAGAGGACAGACACGGGACUGGGCCAGAGGGGAUGCCCACCUAUGACGCUGUCUCGAUGGAAGCUCAGCUGUUCCUGCAGGGAGUUCUGAGGACAGGAUGGCACUUCAGGGAGUCCUGAGUUGUGGUGAAAGGGUUGGGCCUUGGUGCCUGCGUGUUGGUCUAUCAUGGCAUGUAGGUCUCCCGGAUCGGGGAAUGAAGUGGGAGGGGCUGACAACCACUUGCCAAUGGCUGCCCAGCAGCCAGGGCAGUAAGUCCUCUAUUGGUUCAGGGAGACCUGGGCAGUGCCUGACAGAGCCUUCUUCUGAGAGAUGCCCCUCUCCAGGGAAUUGGAAGGGAGAGGCCAGUGGGUGAACGAUUGAUCCCUCGCUGAGCCUGUGGUCUCAGGGCUGCAAGGACGCUCCUCUGCAGCCCUCUUCACCAACCCCCCUUCUCAGGUUUCAUCUCUACGGGGAUGGAGACUCUGGUCACCACGUCCUUUUCAGGCCAGGGUGGCUGCACUGGUCAGUCUACUGUCCACAUGGUCACAGAAGCACCAAGAGGCGCCAAGGGCACCACCAAGGUGUCAGCGCGUUCUUCCUUGUCCCCAGGGGUGACCUCUUUCUGAUGUCCAGGGACAGUUGCUCUGUCCAGAAUGGUGACUGUUCUUGCUUGCCGGUCCCCUGACACAGGAGCCUGAAGUGCCAAGGGGCAACUGUAAUUUAUAGUUUAAGGGAUUCUUGCUGUGUUCACUGGCAGGAGUGUUCUUUCUUUGGAGACAAGGGUGUCUAAACCCACAGAGCCUGGAGCUGAGGGAUGGAGACCACAGAAUCCCUAG